rnacentral:tRNA from 1 species
GUGGGGUUGCCCGAGCGGUCCAAGGGCGCGAGCUGCAAACUCGUUGUUCGCCGGUUCGAAUCCGGCACCCCACUCCA